AAAAACCCCACACAGUCCUUGUAUACUCAAAUUAGAAAAAUACAGAGAAGAUUAGCAAGGCCCCAUGUGAGGAAGACAGGUAAAUUCAUGAAGAGAUCCAUAUUGAA
ensembl:snRNA U6 U6 spliceosomal RNA